UAGCUGUGGAGAGCAGAGAAGAUCCCACAGGUCCAACUUCAACACCAACCAUGUUCUCUACAUCUCUACUGCUCCUGCUGGCAGCUGCAUCCUGUGUUCAUUGUGUUGAACUGACUCAGCCUGGUUCCAUGGUGGUCCGUCCAGGCCAGAGUCUGACCAUCGAUUGCAAGGUUUCAUAUUCAGUUACCAGUUAUUGGUCAGCUUGGAUCCGACAGCCUGCAGGAAAAGCUCUGGAGUGGAUUGGAUAUAUCAGUAGCGGUGGGGGCACAGGUUACAGUGAUAAACUGAAAAGCAAGUUCAGCAUCUCCAGAGACACUGGAACCAACACAAUAACAUUACGAGGACAGAAUCUGCAGACUGAAGACACAGCUGUGUAUUACUGUGCGAGAUACACAGUGACACUAACUAAUGAACACGGCUUACAAAAACCCAGAGCCGACUCUCAAGUAUUUUUAAAUGAAUGAGUUUCUUAGCUUGUGCCGUUUUUAGUAAUAUUUUUGCAUGUAAAAUCAAUGUACUGUUAAUAUAAAAAAAUAUAAUGAAAAAAAUGAUAGUAAAUAAAAAUAAACAUGAAAAACAUUGAAGAUUUAGACUAUAUAGUUUAUAGUUUCAUGAAAGUUGGGGACAGGAUCAACUGCCAACAUCAAAAUUAAGUUCAUAUAUUAAUAAUUAGCUCUCUAUGAAUUUGGGGACAAUGAGUGAAAACACACCCUCUAAUGUCCUUUUACUAUAAAGCUAAAUCAUAUCCAUGCUUGAGUUUAUCAUUUACUGGAUGAUGAUGAUGAUGAUACAUCCAUUAUAUUUCCAAAAGUUUUCACUCACCCAUCCAGAUCAUUGAAUU